UUGGAGGGCAAGUCUGGUGCCAGCAGCCGCGGUAAUUCCGGCUCCAAUAGCGUAUAUUAAAGUUGUUGCAGUUAAAAAGCUCGUAGUUGAAUUUCGGGAUCAGAUUGUUGGUCGUGCCUCGGUACGUACUGGCAUUAUUGGUUCCUACCUUCUGAAGAACCGCGAUGUCAUUAAUUUGGUGUUGUGGGGAAUCAGGACUGUUACUUUGAAAAAAUUAGAGUGUUUAAAGCAAGCUAACGCUUGAAUACAUUAGCAUGGAAUAAUGAAAUAGGACGUUCGAUCCUAUUUUGCUGGUUUCUAGGAUUGACGUAAUGAUUAAUAGGGAUAGUUGGGGGCAUUAGUAUUCAAUUGUCAGAGGUGAAAUUCUUGGAUUUAUUGAAGACUAACUACUGCGAAAGCAUUUGCCAAGGAUGUUUUCAUUAAUCAAGAACGAAAGUUAGGGGAUCGAAGACGAUCAGAUACCGUCGUAGUCUUAACCAUAAACUAUGCCGACUAGGGAUCGGAUGAUGUUAAUUGUUUAAUGACUCAUUCGGCGCCUUACGGGAAACCAAAGUGUUUGGGUUC
rnacentral:rRNA from 1 species